AUUGAACGCUGGCGGCAGGCCUAACACAUGCAAGUCGAGCGGAGCGGCGGACGGGUGAGUAAUGCCUAGGAAUCUGCCUGGUAGUGGGGGAUAACGUUCGGAACCGGGCGCUAAUACUGCAUCCUAUCAGAUGAGCCUAGGUCGGAUUAGCUAGUGGGUGGGGUAAGGGCCUACCAGGGCGACGAUCCGUAACUGGUCUGAGAGAAUGAUCAGUCAAACUGGAACGGGGACACGGUCCAGACUCCUAGGGGGGGCAGAAGGGGGGAAUAUUGGACAAUGGGCGAAGGCCUGAUCCAGCCAGGCCGGGUGUGUGAAGAAGGUCUUCGGAUUGUAAAGCACUUUAAGUUGGGAGACGUUACCGACAGAAAAGGCACCGGCUAACUCCGUGCCAGCGCCGCGGUAAUUC
rnacentral:rRNA from 1 species